rnacentral:rRNA from 1 species
UUGAACUGAAGAGUUUGAUCCUGGCUCAGAUUGAACGCUGGCGGCAUGCCUUACACAUGCAAGUCGAACGGCAGCACGGGUGCUUGCACCUGGUGGCGAGUGGCGAACGGGUGAGUAAUACAUCGGAACAUGUCCUGUAGUGGGGGAUAGCCCGGCGAAAGCCGGAUUAAUACCGCAUACGAUCCACGGAUGAAAGCGGGGGACCUUCGGGCCUCGCGCUAUAGGGUUGGCCGAUGGCUGAUUAGCUAGUUGGUGGGGUAAAGGCCUACCAAGGCGACGAUCAGUAGCUGGUCUGAGAGGACGACCAGCCACACUGGGACUGAGACACGGCCCAGACUCCUACGGGAGGCAGCAGUGGGGAAUUUUGGACAAUGGGCGAAAGCCUGAUCCAGCAAUGCCGCGUGUGUGAAGAAGGCCUUCGGGUUGUAAAGCACUUUUGU